UGGGGAAUUUUGGACAAUGGGCGAAAGCCUGAUCCAGCAAUGCCGCGUGUGUGAAGAAGGCCUUCGGGUUGUAAAGCACUUUUGUCCGGAAAGAAAUCCUUGGCUCUAAUACAGUCGGGGGAUGACGGUACCGGAAGAAUAAGCACCGGCUAACUACGUGCCAGCAGCCGCGGUAAUACGUAGGGUGCAAGCGUUAAUCGGAAUUACUGGGCGUAAAGCGUGCGCAGGCGGUUUGCUAAGACCGAUGUGAAAUCCCCGGGCUCAACCUGGGAACUGCAUUGGUGACUGGCAGGCUAGAGUAUGGCAGAGGGGGGUAGAAUUCCACGUGUAGCAGUGAAAUGCGUAGAGAUGUGGAGGAAUACCGAUGGCGAAGGCAGCCCCCUGGGCCAAUACUGACGCUCAUGCACGAAAGCGUGGGGGAGCAAACAGGAUUAGAUAACCCUGGUAGUCCACGCCCUAAACGAUGUCAACUAGUUGUUGGGGAUUCAUUUCCUUAGUAACGUAGCUAACGCGUGAAGUUGACCGCCUGGGGAGUACGGUCGCAAGAUUAAAACUUAAAGGAAUUGACGGGGUCAUAGCUGUUUCCU
rnacentral:rRNA from 1 species